rnacentral:tRNA from 1 species
GCUCCCGUAGCUCAGUUGGAAGAGCACUAGGCCGCGAACCUAGGUUUGCCGUGGGUUCGAAUCCUGCCGGGAGCACCA